ensembl:antisense Gm17227 predicted gene 17227
CCUUGAGAUAUGUUAACUUGGAGAACACCUCCAUUCCCUAUCAUUCUGUUGUAACAAGUCUUCAAAGAGCUGCUUGCUUUCUUCAGCCACAGUAGAUGCCUCCUUGACUAGUCCCAGGAAGACAAUAUGACUAUUUCAGCUUCCAAGAGAAGUGAAUGAUGCAGGGAAGAGCCAAUUCAGCCAGGUGGCAGCAAUCUGGCUCUGGGCUUCCUGGCCUCUGACAGGGACGUGCAGGACGACCCUUGGAGAGAAAUGGGUCACUUCUGCGUCUUGUUAGAUGGACCGUUACACAGACUGAGAGGACGCUGAUUGCUGAAGGAGGCAGCCAGCCAAGUCUGUAGCUACCCACCUCUGAAUUUAUUGAAGACAGGGAAGAAAAGAACCCCAAGAGAGGAAUGUGAAUGCCAUAUUCUAAAAGGAAGUUCUAAUUGGCAAUGAGCAUGGAAAACUUACCUGGAAUUACAAUCAAGCUGGGCACAAGAGUACUACUGUCCCGUCCUAUUCCUCUACCUAGUCCAUGCUACUCAUCAAAGACAAAGAGUCUGGCAGGAAUAAAGAAGCUGCUAAACACAAGUCUUAAUAAAC